AUAGAAUCUCUGGUGAGGAGUCUCCAGAAUGUCCUGCAGUUGAACAAUGUGGAGUUACACAAGCAAGGGCUCCUGCUCUUCACUGAAAUAGUGAAACGGCAACCAGUGGAAAUUAAAUUAUUCACAAACCGAGGUACAUGUAUAGAUGCCAUUGAUGUUUUGAUGAAGACAGUGGACUGCCCAGUGCUGGAGGUGGUAGUGGAGGCUGUGAAAGCUGUGGCAGCUUUUCUGAGGAAGGAUCAUCUGAGCUCCCCUCCAGUCCCAUAUGAAAAUCUGCAGAAACUGCUGGAGGCAGUGCUGAAGCGAUGUGUUGACCUUUCCCCACCACACUGUAGCAACAAGCAUGAAGGUGAUUUCCUGUUAUCGAUGUCCCAGAGUAGAGUUUCUUGGAAACAUGGACAGC
rnacentral:lncRNA from 1 species